rnacentral:rRNA from 1 species
GUACGCGAACGACCUUUCGGGGUUAAGUAGAGUGGCGAACGGGUUAGUAACGCGUGGGAACACACACAGCACAGGGGGAUAACCAUUGGAAACGAUGGCUAAUACCGCAUACGCCCUAUUGGGGAAAGAUUUAUCGGUGUUGGAUUGGCCCGCGUUAGAUUAGCUAGUUGGUGGGGUAAUGGCUCACCAAGGCGACGAUUUAUAGCUGGUUUGAGAGGAUGAUCAGCAACACUGGAACUGAGACACGGUCCAUACUCCUACGGGAGGCAGCAGUCGGGAAUAUUGUGCAAUGGGGGCAACCCUGACACACCCAUGC